UUAGGGUAAGGGUAGGGUUAGGGUAGGGUAAGGGUUAGGAUAUAGGAUGAAAACCAGAAAACGCGUUCGGUCAAGCUCAAUAACUCAAAAACUAUAAGAGGUAUGGGGCCCAUACUUGGCCUCGAGGGACCCAUGGAGGGGACCCAGGUACCCUCCAAGUUUGGUGGCUGUGGCCCCUUCCUAUGACAUAGCUGCCAUUGACUCCCAUUCA